GGAGGUUAUUUGACAGUUUCUUGAAUUCUCUUUUGACAUUACACAUCGCAAAGAACGGAGGCCACGAUCAAUACCCUGUUACCUGCAGUUUAGCGCCACACAUAAACCGUAUUUGACAAGAACAACCGGCAAUAGUCUUCUUCUCCUGCAUUACGUGCGAUCUUUCUCAAAAAAAAAUCAUGAUUUCUUUUUUUCCUUCUGCAAAUCAAUCACUGGAUGGACAUGUACUCACAAACACAUACCGAUCCACCUUUCUCACUCUAAACCCUUAAUUUUCCCCCUCUCUAAACUCAUCAUCCACGAUCCAUCCCGAAAUUGAUACGUACGCUUCGGAAUCUCGUGUUUCCACCAUGUAUCAGUAGUGAAUUGGAUCGAUCCAAGCGGUUACCAGAAACCAAAAAACGUUUCGGCCAAAAAAGGGCGCCCCAUCAGGAAGUAAGGGCGCACAGCUUAAAAAGCACAUUGAUCCAACUUUGGGUAGUGGAAAUUUGAGGGAAGCCGUUCGCCUACCACCUGGAGAAGAUCUUAACGAAUGGCUAGCAAUUAUGAUACGAGUGUAGGUGGGCUGAUGGAGUGUCUAUCUAGAAACCGAUAGAAGUAUCGGCUCCUAAAUACGUCGAGUAUCUGAUGGAAUGGAUUGAAACUCAACUUGAUAACGAAUCAAUAUUUCCUCAAAAACUGGGUGUGCCAUUUCCUCCGAAUUUCCAGGAUGUGGUGAAGACAAUAUUCAAGAGGCUGUUUCGGGUAUAUGCUCACAUAUAUCAUUCACAUUUUCAAAUGAUUAUGAGUUUGAAAGAAGAAGCUCAUCUCAAUACUUACUUUAAGCAUUUUGUCCUCUUCACAUGGGUGUGAAAAAUCCAAUUCUAUCGGACAAUCUGUGGCAAAACUGGCUGCAAGAAUCUUUUGUUUGUUAAAUUAGCCAAUGCUGAUGAUUUUGCUUUGACACUUGAUGGAUAUCAAUGAGGGUCACGUGUAUGUUCCUUUGAACCGGUUGAUCAAUCAUGCACAAAAGGAUAUUUGGGGACAUAGGCAAAAUUUCUUAGGUAUUAUCAACCUUAAUGGCUGAUGAGGAAUCAAAGCCUCUUGAUUAUGUAUCAGAGAUUGUUCUGUCGAGAAAAAAAAAGAGGACGGGCAAUUAGAAGAACAGAGCAGUUGGAACAACGUUUUAAGAAAUCUAAAGGUGAUAACCGGUCAGAGAUUGUUAUGUAUAUCAGCUUCACGGGUGGGGGUGUUGGGUUCAGUACACUUUGGUGUGUGUGAGUAUUCGUGAUAUAUAAUGGCGGAAAGGGCGCGAGGCACUAGCACCCUGUGUGAGUCCAAAAGGGGAGCAAUCGAGUUAGAAAUCUGGGUGUAAUAUGAAAAAAAUUGGGUGCUAGUGUAUCUGACAUUCAUAUUCGAUUCGUGUACCUUCUUUUGCGUGCUUUCAGUUCGGGGGUGGGGCAUGCUGUGACAACCCAAACUUUCAAGGCUAGUAAUUUAAGAAACUAACUAAUUGGGUCGCGGGAUUUCUCGACACACGUGGGCCGUGAGUUGCAUAACACACUUGGGCCGAGACCACACUUCACAUCACCCUCCAUGGCCCACACCACCUAAAGCCCAAACCGAGCCACAUGUUGCAUAUGAUAUACGAACUCCAUGCGGAUGUUGACCCAUAAUUUUCUAAGCGAAUACGGAACACAAACCCUAACACUCCUCUAUUUCUUCCAUGGUGACGGCACCAUUCUUCUCCUCCAAAGUAAACCUGCAACCUUAAACAUCAAUUCCUCUGAUCAAACUUCCGACUGUGCGACGACGGAACCCAACACCAUCUACCCCGAUUAAAUCUCCGGCGACUUCGGUGUACCCCGACCAGACCUCUGGCGGCUCACAACUCGGGACACCGGUUCUCUUACUCUACGCACACGCACACGGUUCCGACACCGAACGCAGGUUAGUAAGAUAUUAUGAGCUUGAAAUUUGUGAGCAUUAAGUGUAAGAUAAUUCGAUUGUUAUGAACGAUGAUGCUCUGUGAAUGUUGUGAUGAUUUAACGGUUUAAGAUUUUAUGAACGAUAGAUAUUACCUUGUUAGAAUGAUGUUUCUGUCAAAUGUUGAAAUGAAGUUCAUGAUGAAUCUACGAUUAGUGGCCGAAGACAUGCAGCUGUGUUUUAAUGGACUGUACAACCGUAAAUGCAUAGGGUACAACCCACUUUUAUGUGCAAGAUUUAUGAUAUGUGAAUGUAAUAGAGUUUGCUCUUGUCUAUUAAAUUAAAGUUGAGAAUGUGAUGAGCUGUUAUGAUAAAUGUGUUUAUGUGCAUGACUUUGAAUAAAUGAAUGUGAUGUGAAUCAAAUAUGGAGCUGGGUUUCUUGAAUGUACAAGAGGUUUGUCUUCAUCGAUAUUAGUAGCUGGCUAUUUUAAGAAGAUGAGGAAUGAUGAUUUUUGAUAAUGAUGAUUGAUGGUUUGUUAAAUAUAAGUUUGUCUUUUCCUAUUUGAUUGUGUGGGGGGGAUGAGUAAUGAUUCGGUUAUGAGGAGCCGCACACUAGCAGACCGGCCCCACAUCCUUUUUGGAAUUUCUUCAUGGUACAAUCCACUCACAAUUUAGGAAUGGUUGAAUUGUGAUUACACACUAUGUUAGGAUCGCAUAGUCCCUAUGGUUUUGUCACAAGAGGUGGGCCAGUGAGACUGGGUAAUUGGGCUUUACAUGAUCACACACUAGUCUGUGGGCCAUGAAUAAAAAAAAAAAGGGUUAACCGGGUUACACAUUUGCGUGAAUAAACCGAAUGGACUGUUGGAUUGUUAUGUGAUGUACGGAUUUGCGAUACGAUUGUGUAUGUGACCCCAAAAUGUGUACUACGUGUUGAGGAAUAAUGUUUACCACAUGCGACCUACCAGAAAGCAAAAUGUUAUAGCAGGCGAAAACCAAUUAUUACAAUACUUGUUAUGGUCCAUAUGUAACACAAUUCUUUGUUACGAUUAGCAUGACGUUAUGUGUAAUACUUGUAUGCUAUCUGUGCAAUGUGAAUGUGGAAUGCGUGAUUCAUGUGUAUACGAAACUGACUAUCUUUAGUAACCUCGGUAGGGUUUGGUUGACCAACUGGGAACGGGUGAUGUAACGUAACAUACCGAGCAAAUCUAAGGUGAGUUCACUACAUUCGAGCAUGCGUCCCAGUGGUUGGGGACAGUCAGUGGGUAUCCCAU